rnacentral:misc_RNA from 1 species
GGGCAAUUAUCAUUGGGAAAUGUUUGAGCUCCAUUUAUGUGGUUUGCAAACUCCUCCAAGCUAGGAGUAAGAAUAGGCUGCAAAAGAGGACCAAUGACAACGCCUGGAUGUAUUGUAACCAAGUCAAUUCCGUUCUCCCUUGCAAAUCUCCAACCAGCCUCCUCAGCAAGGAUUUUUGAAACAGCAUACCAAAGCUGCAAAGAACCAAAAAUCGAUUGACCAAUAAAUAAAACUUA